rnacentral:rRNA from 1 species
GAUGAACGCUGGCGGCGUGCCUAAUACAUGCAAGUCGAGCGAACGGACGAGAAGCUUGCUUCUCUGAUGUUAGCGGCGGACGGGUGAGUAACGCGUGGAUAACCUACCUAUAAGACUGGGAUAACUUCGGGAAACCGGAGCUAAUACCGGAUGAUAUUUUGAACCGCAUGGUUCAAAAGUGAAAGACGGUCUUGCUGUCACUUAUAGAUGGAUCCGCGCUGCAUUAGCUAGUUGGUAAGGUAACGGCUUACCAAGGCAACGAUGCAUAGCCGACCUGAGAGGGUGAUCGGCCACACUGGAACUGAGACACGGUCCAGACUCCUACGGGAGGCAGCAGUAGGGAAUCUUCCGCAAUGGGCGAAAGCCUGACGGAGCAACGCCGCGUGAGUGAUGAAGGUCUUCGGAUCGUAAAACUCUGUUAUUAGGGAAGAACAUAUGUGUAAGUAACUGUGCACAUCUUGACGGUACCUAAUCAGAAAGCCACGGCUAACUACGU